UGUGGGUUUGAAACGGAACCGUAGCAGACGAAUUACAUACAUGGAUAUGGCUGCGUGUGUAUAUAUGUAUAUUGUGAAGUUCAAGCAUCUCUUCCACAAGGCAAGAUGAGGUAUGAGGUGGUCAAAAGAAACAUUCUCCUUUGUUUUCUCGUACUCACCACCCUAUUUCUUGCAUGGAGCUUGUUUUUCACCGGUGAGAAGAUGGAGAAGUUAAUUUACGCAAGAGAAGGGGAAAAUUUGUAUGCACCUAUCAGUACUAUAAAACAAAACAAAGGUCGAGCUUUUGACUUGGCAAAGCUAAUGGCAUCAGUAGUUCCUGAACCACCACCACCGGCUCCUGCAGGGAACAUAGGGUCGCAACCCUAAUAGACUACGUUUUUUUUUUUAAAUAAAUUUUUUAUGAAUAAAUUCAUUAUAGAAAUUCCUUGUAUUUUAUGUCUAUGUCAUCUCAUAAUGUGAUGUAAAUGUCAUCGAUAGGCAAAUUACGAUCCCAAAAUAAUACAGUUUACUGUAAAUGUCA